UUAUUUGAUUAAUUAUUUUAUUUGAUAUUCUAACAUCAGUUAUUAAAUGCAAUAAAAGGCACAUUUCCCUCCCACUUGCAUUUUCGACACAUUUCGUCUUCUUGAUCACUGAGAGCAAAUAUUCCCCCACAUGACACCCCCAUGCUAUUUUCUCCCAUCUGCUUCGCAAUCCGCCACUGCUUCUGCUUUUGCUCUCCGAAAGAAUAACCUCGCACUCACUGAGGCAGAGAAGGACGCCCUACAAGACCAGCUUGCCAGAGACCAGCGAUCAGUGAUACGGAGAUUUCAUCAGGAUAUCGUGAUUCCGGCGGAGUCACCCUACGGAAUCACGAUAUCCCUUAUGAAAUCCUCGUACCACUGGUUGAGGGUUUCGGGGUGGACGCCAACUCUCUGACGAGCUGGUACGACGACGGCGACCACGAGGACGAGGAUGACGACGACGAGGUACAUUCCCUUCUUCCUUUUGAGUAUUUUUUUUUUUUAUUUUUGGCUUCUGUUAUCGUCAGGGUUGAUCGACGCAGGAGCGGAAGGCUGGAAUGUCAACGCCUUAAAGCUACGUAAGGCUCCAUUUGUGUCUUUCUUUUCCAGUCUCACGGCAAUGUGUCCCUGAGGAAUCCUGUACUACCGAGUUUGAUGGUGCUCUCCCACUUGUAAAGCACUGAAAGUUUGUGAGAAGCUUGCAUGUCAAACGUCAUGAUUAGUAACUAUGCCACAAUCACCUUUUUGGUAAUUGGUAAUGGGUUUCGUGAAACAGGUCUAACGUCAACCAAAAAAUGGCUGAGCUCGGCAGACAGGCGAAAGAGCUCAAGCACAAGUUUUUCUCAUUACAUAAAAUAGCACUAAUAGAUUUUAUAAACUUAUUUUUUUAUUCCAAAAAUAAAUAAAAUAUCCAAGAUAUCUCUUGAAUGUUUU